AUCCAGCUGACGAGUCUAAAAUAGGACGAAAUGCUCAUCAAACUUGAAU
rfam:Schistosoma curassoni strain Dakar, Senegal genome assembly, scaffold: SCTD_scaffold0002335